UACGUAGGUGACCAGCGUUGUCCGGAUUUACUGGGCGUAAAGAGCGCGCAGGCGGUCGUUCAAGUCGAGUGUGAAAGCCCCCGGCUCAACUGGGGAGGGUCAUUCGAUACUGAUCGACUUGAAGGCAGGAGAGGGAAGUGGAAUUCCCGGUGUAGUGGUGAAAUGCGUAGAUAUUGGGAGGAACACCAGUGGCGAAGGCGGCUCACUGGACCGGUACUGACGCUGAUGCGCGAAAGCGUGGGGAGCAAACGGG
rnacentral:rRNA from 1 species